ACUGAGACACGGCCCAUACUCUUACGGGAGGCAGCAGCAGGGAAUAUUGCACAAUGGACGAAAGUCUGAUGCAGCGACGCCGCGUGAAUGAAGAAGGCCUUCGGGUUGUAAAAUUCUUUUCGGGGGGAAGAGGCAGGACGGUACCCUCGGAAUAAGCGUCGGCUAACUACGUGCCAGCAGCCGCGGUAAGACGUAGGACGCAAGCGUUAUCCGGAUUUACUGGGCGUAAAGCGUCUGUAGGCGGAAAGACAAGUUGGGCGUGAAAGCUCCGGGCUCAACCCGGAGAGUGCGUUCAAUACUGUCUAUCUAGAGGAGGUCAGAGGGGAGUGGAAUUUCAGGUGUAGCGGUAAAAUGCGCAGAUAUCUGAAGGAACACCAGUGGCGAAGGCGGCUCCCUGGGGCCCACCUGACGCUGAGAGACGAAAGCUAGGGGAGCGAACAGGAUUAGAGACCCUGGUAGUCCUAGCCAUAAACGAUGGAUGCUAGGUGUGGGACCGAGAAGGUUCUGUGCCGGAGCAGACGCGAUAAGCAUCCCGCCUGGGGAGUACGACCGCAAGGUUAAAACUCAAACGAAUUGACGGGGCCCCGCACAAGCAGCGGAGCGUGUGGUUUAAUUCGAUAUUACACGAAGAACCUUACCUGGGAUUGACAUGCAGAUGGUAGUGAAGCGAAAGCGGAACGACCCUUCGGGGAGUCUGCACAGGUGCUGCAUGGCUGUCGUCAGCUCGUGCCGUGAGGUGUCGGGUUAAGUCCCGUAACGAGCGCAACCCUUGCCCGCCGUUAUACGUGUCAGCGGGGACUGCCGGCGGUAAGCCGGAGGAAGGUGGGGAUGACGUCAAGUCAGCAUGGCCUUUAUAUCCAGGGCUACACACACGCUACAAUGGUCGGUACAAAGGGCAGCGAAACCGCGAGGUGAAGCGAAUCUCAAAAAGCCGGUCGUAGUUCGAAUUGCAGGCUGCAACUCGCCUGCAUGAAGCUGGAGUUGCUAGUAACCGCGCGUCAGCUAUAGUGCGGUGAAUACGUUCCCGGGGCUUGUACACACCGCCCGUCACGUCAUGGAAGUUGGUAACGCCUGAAGCCGGUAGCUUAGCCCGCAAGGGGGAGCGCUGUCGAAGGCGGGACUGGCAACUGGGACGAAGUCGUAACAAGGUAGCGGUACCGGAAGGUGCGGCUGG
rnacentral:rRNA from 1 species